UUUGUACUCCCUCCGUCCCAACAUUCUUGUCUUAAAUUUGUCUAAAUACGGAUGUAUUUAGUUACAUUUUAGUGUUAGAUACAUCCGUAUCUAAACAAAUGUAAGACAAGAAUUUUGGGAAGGAGGGAAUACUAC
rfam:Triticum aestivum genome assembly, contig: Triticum_aestivum_CS42_TGACv1_scaffold_505448_6BL